rnacentral:rRNA from 1 species
GAACGACCCGCGAAUCGUCAUUGCGUACUAGAGAGGGCCCGUGAGCACCUAACGCUCAUGGGGCUCGCGUCGCGUCGGCGUGGGUGUACUCGAGACCCGCGUCGCACGGCGGACAAACAACGUCAGCACGGAUCGUGCCAAGGAAGUGCAUGGGGAGAAUCGUCGUCCCCCGCCUUCGAUAGCCCUCGAUGCGGGGCGGGGGAUGUACGCAAUCUCUACUCAAGUCUAAACGACUCUCGGCAACGGAUAUCUCGGCUCUUGCAUCGAUGAAGAACGUAGCGAAAUGCGAUACUGGUGUGAAUUGCAGAAUCCCGCGAACCAUCAAUUCUUUGAACGCAAGUUGCGCCCGAAGCCUUUCGGCCGAGGGCACGCCUGCCUGGGUGUCGUGAAUCCCCUUGCCCCUAGGCACCCGCAUGAGGAUUGGCGGGGAUACAUGCUCGGGCGCAGAAUAUGGUCUCCCGUGGGAUCGGCAUGCACGGCAUGUCGAGGUGCGGUUGGCCGAAAAUCGAGCAUGGCGGUGACGGGCACCACGGCGUUCGGUGGAUCGAAUGAGAUUGUCUGCGCCGUGGGUUCGGCAUGCGGCGGGCUCCGGACUUUGAAUCCCCCGAGUGCGAUCCCAGGUCAGGCGGGGCUACCCGCUGAGUUUAAG